UACGGAGGGUGCAAGCGUUAUCCGGAUUCACUGGGUUAAAGGGAGCGCAGGCGGAUUUGUAAGUCAGUGGUGAAAGGCUUUAAGCUUAACUUGGGAACUGCCAUUGAUACUAUAAGUCUUGAAUGUUGUUUGAGGUUUGCGGAAUGGGUCAUGUAGCGGUGAAAUGCAUAGAUAUGACCCGGAACACCUAUUGCGAAGGCAGCAGGCUACACGAAUAUUGACUCUGAGGCACGAAAGCGUGGGGAUCAAACAGG
rnacentral:rRNA from 1 species